GACGAACGCUGGCGGCGUGCUUAACACAUGCAAGUCGAACGGAAAGGCCCUGCUUUUGUGGGGUGCUCGAGUGGCGAACGGGUGAGUAACACGUGAGUAACCUGCCCUUGACUUUGGGAUAACUUCAGGAAACUGGGGCUAAUACCGGAUAGGAGCUCCUGCUGCAUGGUGGGGGUUGGAAAGUUUCGGCGGUUGGGGAUGGACUCGCGGCUUAUCAGCUUGUUGGUGGGGUAGUGGCUUACCAAGGCUUUGACGGGUAGCCGGCCUGAGAGGGUGACCGGCCACAUUGGGACUGAGAUACGGCCCAGACGCCUACGGGAGGCAGCAGUGGGGAAUAUUGCACAAUGGGCGGAAGCCUGAUGCAGCAACGCCGCGUGCGGGAUGACGGCCUUCGGGUUGUAAACCGCUUUCGCCUGUGACGAAGCGUGAGUGACGGUAAUGGGGAAAGAAGCACCGGCGAACUACGU
rnacentral:rRNA from 1 species